UAAGUCUUUUUAACCCCUCACUACAAAUCCAAAGAGUCAGUGGGUUUGAUCUUUCUUUUUCUCUUUAUUCCACAGUGGGUACCAGAUUUGAUGCUGCAACGGUAGAUGAAGAGUUAGUGAAAUCAUACAGAGAAAAGCAAAAGGCGAAAACAGAGAAAAUUCUUGAUGAGUACCUCAGAAUUUGCCUGAAGAAAGGGGUAUGUGUUGAUGAGUACCUCAGAAUUUGCCUCAGUAAACCGAAUGGGAUCCGAAAUUACCUUGAAUAUUAGCCGUUCCCAACUUUGUUACCUAAACUGAACCGAAAACCGAAUUAACUGAACUAAAUUUUUUAAAUAUCGGAAUAGAUCCUAACCCUCUAGAACUGAAAGAACCAAACCGAAAACCAAAUGCCAGCUAAUACAUAUACUCAUGAGAUAUGAAGUAUGUGUCAUUUCUAAGGAGAUUUGUUUUUGCAGGUCCAUGCAGAGAAGCUGUGCGUUGAUAUGGACUCCAUAGAGAAGGGGAUUGUGAAGAUGAUACAUGAGAAUAAAGUCAGGAAGUUUAUAAUGGGAGCAGCUGCAGACAAACACUAUUCAACGUAUUGUGUUCUCUUAGGCUUCACCUGUUUCUUUUUUUAUUCAUCUUGAAUUUGACAUUGGUGUGUGAUCAACUUGCUAGGAAAAUGGAGGAACUGAGGUCGAGGAAAGCCA
rnacentral:lncRNA from 1 species